GACGAACGCUGGCGGCGUGCCUAAUACAUGCAAGUUGAGCGCUGAAGGUUGGUACUUGUACCAACUGGAUGAGCAGCGAACGGGUGAGUAACGCGUGGGGAAUCUGCCUUUGAGCGGGGGACAACAUUUGGAAACGAAUGCUAAUACCGCAUAAAAACUUUAAACACAAGUUUUAAGUUUGAAAGAUGCAAUUGCAUCACUCAAAGAUGAUCCCGCGUUGUAUUAGCUAGUUGGUGAGGUAAAGGCUCACCAAGGCGAUGAUACAUAGCCGACCUGAGAGGGGGACGGGCCACUGUGGGACUAAGCACGGGCCAAACCCCCUACGGGGGGCGCAAGUGGGGAUUUUUCGGCAGGGGACAAAAGUCUGAACGAGACGCGCCGCGGGAGUAAAGAUGGUUUGGGUAUCAAAAAACUGUGUUGGUAGAGAAAACCGUGGGUGAGAGGGAAAACCUCAUCAAGUGACGGUAACUCACCAGAAAGGGACGGCUAACUACGU
rnacentral:rRNA from 1 species